CACAAAUCUCCUUCUAAACCAAAGGCUACCAAGUUCGUUCCCUCAAAGAAGCCCAAAACCAGACAUUGACGAUAAAGAGAAGAAGACAACUCCCCUUUUCGGACGAGAACCUAAAAUCAAUGCUAAGGAACUCGCAGAUAGUUGAAAAAAAUAAGACAGAUCUUACCUGUCUAUGGGAAAAGACGAGACAUCGCAGGAUUGCUAAAGAAUAUAUUACUCUGCAGAAAAGAUAUGAUGUUAAAAUAUUUCAUUUUAUUUUUCUCUCUAUUGUCUUAAUUUUUGUUUACUUUGUACUUGAAUAUAAUGGAAGCAUGGUGACAGAAGCUCUAACAAAAAUUCAGGGGAAGAUCCAUGAGAUUGUAGUGUCUCACUGAGUGUUCUUUAGGUAUAUUUUUCAACUUUAUUUUUCAGUUUUAUACCCUUUUAGUCUAUUUAUUUUAGUUUUAAUAUUUAACUUUUUGUUUUGUGUUUGAAUUGAAAGACUCGUGUCAAAUAAUGUUUGUUCACAAGUAGAAAGAGAUGAAGUAUGUGAAGAGCUUCGUCCUCCUUUUCUAAAUGUAGUCUACAAAUGCAUAUGUGGUUCACUUAGUAAAGAAUAGGCCUCACAAUGGUAAUGGUGUGCUUGAAAUGUGUUUUUAUAUAUAAUAUCAUGUGUGUGUAUAAUAUCAGCGUCACACUUUAUUCUAAUUGGAUAUUCCCCAAUUUCAACCUAAAAAAAACAACUGGUAGGCUUAACAUCGAAACGCUUUUUUCUACUGUGUGUAUAAAUUUAGUUGGUAUAAAAAACAAGAACGAGGAUGGACUUUGUUGCCUCAUUUAACAGUAGUUUCAAAGGUAUGAUGAUGUUUGAUUACAAUCUCUUUGGUUUCUUUGGUUCAUUUAGUUGAAACUUGGAAGGUGUUAAUGUUCACUACUUGAAGAUAUUAACUGUUUGAUGAAAUGUAUAUGUUUUUUUGGAACUCUUGUUAAAAAUACAUGUCAUGACCAGCUGCCUCUUAUCAUUUUUUUUACUGAAAUGGAUAAAAGGAAUAAGAUUAUAUAAGGCAUAAUAAAAUUAUGUUAAAAACUUUGCAUUGUUAUUUGUGCAUUUAAAAACAUGGAUUUGAAGAGUGUUGAAUGCAUCAAGGAAAUUGCGUUACUUAGAUGUUGAUGAGUGUUAGUUGUUGGUGUUAAUACGAACACAUUUUAGUGGUAAUUGAUAACAGAGCAUGUGUGUUAUGUGGUGUUUGGUAGUCCUCAAUCAUGGUAAGUUCGCAAGUGUGUGGAGGGCUGACAUAGAUUUUAGUAGUAUAGACUGCAGGGAAUUGGUUUGUUAUAUCUAUUUUUGUUUUUUUGCUCAAGGCUGUUUGGUAGCGUAGCGUUGUUUUUCGGUAUUGUUGUAUGUUUUUUGGUAUGUUCUAAAAAGUGAUUAGAGCUUCGGAGAAAGUAAGGAAAGUAAGGAUAGUAAUGUUACCAUAAUUGAUUUGAUCUCUCCUAAGUGUAUGUAAUUAGAUUAUAUUUGUAGUGUUCGAGUUCUUUUGAACUGGGUUAGAUACUUGGGUUUUAUUUUUAUCUUUUAAGAUUUAAGUUAUCUCUUUUACUUUGUUUCUUAUUCAAGUAUCGGUUUUGAUUGUGCAUGGCUAAGUUUAAUCCUUGAAAGAAAGGAGAGACCAUGUGUCGGAACAAACAAAGUAGCUCUGCCUAAUGUUUGCAACCGACUUUCUAUAAGUUCUUUAAAGAUAAAUGAGAAGAAUUGAUUCAAGCAACAUCUCAACAAGAUAUCUCUUCACUUACUAAAAGCUUAUAUUAUCAGGCCAAGCCAUAUAUUAGAGAUGAAGUUCAUGAAGAUGAUAUGGCUGAUAAUGAUGAUGUGGCUGAUGAUAGUGAUGAUGUGUUUGAUGAUUGUGAACAAGUAGGUCAAGAAUGACAAGUGUAAUAGUGUGGCUUACUUUUGUAUGUCUUGUUUUUUGAGUUAAGAUAUUGACUUUUUGUAUGCAAGAAUUGAAAUAGAUUUAUUCCCCCUUUUGUAUGUGUUUGAUGAUG